rnacentral:rRNA from 1 species
GAUGAACGCUGGCGGCGUGCCUAAUACAUGCAAGUCGAGCGAACAGACGAGGAGCUUGCUCCUCUGACGUUAGCGGCGGACGGGUGAGUAACACGUGGAUAACCUACCUAUAAGACUGGGAUAACUUCGGGAAACCGGAGCUAAUACCGGAUAAUAUAUUGAACCGCAUGGUUCAAUAGUGAAAGACGGUUUUGCUGUCACUUAUAGAUGGUUCCGCGCCGCAUUAGCUAGUUGGUAAGGUAACGGCUUACCAAGGCAACGAUGCGUAGCCGACCUGAGAGGGUGAUCGGCCACACUGGAACUGAGACACGGUCCAGACUCCUACGGGAGGCAGCAGUAGGGAAUCUUCCGCAAUGGGCGAAAGCCUGACGGAGCAACGCCGCGUGAGUGAUGAAGGUCUUCGGAUCGUAAAACUCUGUUAUUAGGGAAGAACAAAUGUGUAAGUAACUAUGCACGUCUUGACGGUACCUAAUCAGAAAGCCACGGCUAACUACGCG